GGGGGAUUGGCGCAAUGGUAGCGCGUGGCUCUCCUACCUCCCUUCCAGUGUCCAUCACUAGAUAUGGAGGGCUCUAGUGAAAAGCCAAGGUUGUGGGUUCGAGUCCCAUGUUCCUCG